UAAUGAGAGUUUGAUCCUGGCUCAGGACGAACGCUGGCGGCGUGCCUAAUACAUGCAAGUAGAACGCUGAAGAGAGGAGCUUGCUCUUCUUGGAUGAGUUGCGAACGGGUGAGUAACGCGUAGGUAACCUGCCUUGUAGCGGGGGAUAACUAUUGGAAACGAUAGCUAAUACCGCAUAACAAUGGAUGACACAUGUCAUUUAUUUGAAAGGGGCAAUUGCUCCACUACAAGAUGGACCUGCGUUGUAUUAGCUAGUAGGUGAGGUAACGGCUCACCUAGGCGACGAUACAUAGCCGACCUGAGAGGGUGAUCGGUCACACUGGGACUGAGACACGGCCCAGACUCCUACGGGAGGCAGCAGUAGGGAAUCUUCGGCAAUGGGGGCAACCCUGACCGAGCAACGCCGCGUGAGUGAAGAAGGUUUUCGGAUCGUAAAGCUCUGUUGUAAGUCAAGAACGAGUGUGAGAGUGGAAAGUUCACACUGUGACGGUAGCUUACCAGAAAGGGACGGCUAACUACGUGCCAGCAGCCGCGGUAAUACGUAGGUCCCGAGCGUUGUCCGGAUUUAUUGGGCGUAAAAGCGAGCGCAGGCGGUUUGAUAAGUCUGAAGUUAAAGGCUGUGGCUCAACCAUAGUUCGCUUUGGAAACUGUCAAACUUGAGUGCAGAAGGGGAGAGUGGAAUUCCAUGUGUAGCGGUGAAAUGCGUAGAUAUAUGGAGGAACACCGGUGGCGAAAGCGGCUCUCUGGUCUGUAACUGACGCUGAGGCUCGAAAGCGUGGGGAGCGAACAGGAUUAGAUACCCUGGUAGUCCACGCCGUAAACGAUGAGUGCUAGGUGUUGGAUCCUUUCCGGGAUUCAGUGCCGCAGCUAACGCAUUAAGCACUCCGCCUGGGGAGUACGACCGCAAGGUUGAAACUCAAAGGAAUUGACGGGGGCCCGCACAAGCGGUGGAGCAUGUGGUUUAAUUCGAAGCAACGCGAAGAACCUUACCAGGUCUUGACAUCCCGAUGCUAUUUCUAGAGAUAGAAAGUUACUUCGGUACAUCGGUGACAGGUGGUGCAUGGUUGUCGUCAGCUCGUGUCGUGAGAUGUUGGGUUAAGUCCCGCAACGAGCGCAACCCCUAUUGUUAGUUGCCAUCAUUCAGUUGGGCACUCUAGCGAGACUGCCGGUAAUAAACCGGAGGAAGGUGGGGAUGACGUCAAAUCAUCAUGCCCCUUAUGACCUGGGCUACACACGUGCUACAAUGGUUGGUACAACGAGUUGCGAGUCGGUGACGGCAAGCUAAUCUCUUAAAGCCAAUCUCAGUUCGGAUUGUAGGCUGCAACUCGCCUACAUGAAGUCGGAAUCGCUAGUAAUCGCGGAUCAGCACGCCGCGGUGAAUACGUUCCCGGGCCUUGUACACACCGCCCGUCACACCACGAGAGUUUGUAACACCCGAAGUCGGUGAGGUAACCUUUUGGAGCCAGCCGCCUAAGGUGGGAUAGAUGAUUGGGGUGAAGUCGUAACAAGGUAGCCGUAUCGGAAGGUGCGGCUGGAUCACCUCCUU
rnacentral:rRNA from 1 species